CAGGGAUGGGUAACAGGAAAGGAGAUACACAUCUAAAAACACCCAGAGUACAGUCAAAAGAAGUCCAAGAAGUAAUCUUUCCACUUGUUGCCCAGACUCAGCCAUUAAACAGAACAGAGCUAACCAACUAAACAGGUACCAUUCCUCAGCAAGAAAAUCAGGACAGAAAUGUUUUCAUUUACCUAGAUAUCUGCAUGAAACUUCAGUAAAAUCAAUUCUGACAAUUGCUGAAUCUCCACAAGACAGACAGAAAAGUUCAGAAGAGUUUACAUGAAGAUUUAAGUGGACUGCCAAGCCAUUUUGGACAAUGCCACAGCUGAGACUGAUGCUAUCCAGUCAACAGUUUUCAUUUCCCAGUGCUCUGAGGCAGCAUUCCUCAACACUUACAUAUCUUGGGCAAUAAUCCUGUAAGCAAAUACAUUAUCCUUUGGCAUGAGUAGUAAGAUGUUUUUCUCUCCUUAUUUGUCCCCACUCUAGUUUUUACUUUACCCACAAGCAUCAGAGGUUGUUGCAGGCAAUGAGUGCUAUGACCAUAGUUUUCAGACCACCCUUUUAAGGUUCCUUGAAUUUGUUGGAAAUAGUAAGACUGGGAUCUGACAACCAAAAUACUGCUAGGUCAUAAUAAUUUGAUGGGCUUGACAAAGAAGGCAAUAGUUAACUCAGAUGCAGUAACAUCACUAGAUGAAAAGCACAGUAAAUUGUGUUGGUAGCUAUAUUGGCACCUAAAAGCACGUGAGAGCUCAUUCUGACAGUGAAAAAUUGUUGAAUUUACUUGAGAAAACAUUCCUUAAAAAUACUUCAAUUACUCAAGCAAUUUAUUCCCCUUUGGUAAUUUAUGGAGUCCCACCAGAAGCCAGAAACAAUGAAAAUGAAGGGAUACUUCUUGUCACACCUUCUUGUUCAGUGACAGGAAAGAAGGUCAAGUUCCUUUUGCUGUGGUUCCUUCUAAAUAGUCAUCUCUUAUUGACUUGUACUACAAAGCAAGGUAAAUAAUCAGCUAUGCCUCAGUCCAUAGUUUUCAAUACUGUAAACUACAAUAAACUAGAUUAUGUAUCUGUUCUCAGAUACAUAAUCAAUGAAAGCUGAAAACCUUUGAGGGCUGUGCUACACAAUCUUUGCAUUCUAAAGAUAUAUUUUCACAGACACAGUCUGCGCUGAUUUCUCAACUAAUCUACAUAAAUAAAA